AUUGUGACUUGUUAUGUGAUGGUGUGUAAUAAAUUUUGUAAGUGUGAGAUGCAAUAUUAUAUUUAAAAUAUGUUGUAUUGAAUAUGUGAUUAAUCAUGAAGGCAUGAAAUGUGAUUUGUGAUUAAAUUCUAGGACUAGUGAUGUUACAUGAUGAAUGUUGAAAUGAUAGAAAUUGUGCCAAAGUUGAGCCUUGUUAUAUCUGUAUUAUUGUUAUAUUUAUAUCAUACAUGUAUGCUUUUGUUUAUCUCUAUUUGUGGAGGAAUGUGAUGACUCAGUCCCCGUGUAUUAUUUGUGUUUAUAUUCUAUGACGAUCUUGAAUCUUGUGUUCGUGAAAGUAGAUGACUAGGUGGAUUGCUUUAAGGAAUCUCAUGCUGGAGGACGACGUGAUACAAUGCUUUGAUAGGAUGUGACAUUGGGACAUGUUUUAAUUGCAUGAUAUUCUGAAUGUUAUUUUACUUUAUUUUAUUC
rnacentral:lncRNA from 1 species